AUUGAACGCUGGCGGCAUGCCUUACACAUGCAAGUCGAACGGUAACAGGUCUUCGGAUGCUGACGAGUGGCGAACGGGUGAGUAAUACAUCGGAACGUGCCUAGUAGUGGGGGAUAACUACUCGAAAGAGUGGCUAAUACCGCAUGAGAUCUACGGAUGAAAGCAGGGGAUCGCAAGACCUUGUGCUACUAGAGCGGUCGACGGCAGAUUAGGUAGUUGGUGGGAUAAAAGCUUACCAAGCCGACGAUCUGUAGCUGGUCUGAGAGGACGAUCAGCCACACUGGGACUGAGACACGGCCCAGACUCCUACGGGAGGCAGCAGUGGGGAAUUUUGGACAAUGGGCGCAAGCCUGAUCCAGCAAUGCCGCGUGCAGGAUGAAGGCCUUCGGGUUGUAAACUGCUUUUGUACGGAACGAAAAGCCCUGGGUUAAUACCCUGGGGUCAUGACGGUACCGUAAGAAUAAGCACCGGCUAACUACGUGCCAGCCGCCGCCGUAAUAC
rnacentral:rRNA from 1 species